CAAUACACUCUUAAUCUGAUCCCAGAUAUCCCUGCAGUCACUGCUAACACCGGCCAGCAGCAUGUGCUGGACUUGUGACCACUCUGAUGGAUAGAAUGUGGCAGAAGUAGCUGUGGUUUCUGAGAUUGAGUCUUCAAAAGCCUUGAAGCUCCCUCUUUGGCCCCCUUGGAACCACCCAAUCAUCACGUUGUGACGAAGCCCCAGCCAACCUCCUGCGGGAUGAGAGGCCACAUGGAAGAGAGCCCAGGAGCCCCGCCGAAGCCAUUACCAACGACCACGCACGGACUGCGGACAUCCGGGUUUCUUCAGCUUCAGUCAAGCUAUCCAAUGACGUCAGCCACAUCAGUGAUCCCAGGCCAAGACAAGCAGAACUGCCCGGAUGGCCAACCCACAAGGAAAAGAAGGCUGUCAUAAAGGCUGCAGGCAAUUCAGAGCGGUGUCAUUGGUAAAAGAAGCUGAAAGAGUAAAAAUAUGCUACCAUAUCAUGGGACAGAAGGAAAAGCAUCUUUGUUACUUUUUAUUAAGUACAGCCCCAAACUGGAAGAUUCUUCUCUAAAAUUCAUCAGAGGAACCGCCUGGAAGAGAUAGGGUUUCAA
ensembl:lncRNA